rnacentral:rRNA from 1 species
UACGUAGGGUGCGAGCGUGUCCGGAAUUAUUGGGCGUAAAGAGCUUGUAGGCGGUUUGUCGCGUCUGCCGUGAAAAUCCGAGGCUCAACCUCGGACUUGCGGUGGGUACGGGCAGACUAGAGUGUGGUAGGGGAGACUGGAAUUCCUGGUGUAGCGGUGAAAUGCGCAGAUAUCAGGAGGAACACCGAUGGCGAAGGCAGGUCUCUGGGCCACUACUGACGCUGAGAAGCGAAAGCAUGGGGAGCGAACAGG